rnacentral:rRNA from 1 species
GUCCGCAACGAGCGCAACCCUUAUCCUUGUUGCCAGCGGUCCGGCCGGGAACUCAAAGGAGACUGCCAGUGAUAAACUGGAGGAAGGUGGGGAUGACGUCAAGUCAUCAUGGCCCUUACGACCAGGGCUACACACGUGCUACAAUGGCGCAUACAAAGAGAAGCGACCUCGCGAGAGCAAGCGGACCUCAUAAAGUGCGUCGUAGUCCGGAUUGGAGUCUGCAACUCGACUCCAUGAAGUCGGAAUCGCUAGUAAUCGUGGAUCAGAAUGCCACGGUGAAUACGUUCCCGGGCCUU